GCGCGAGUGGCGGAAUUGGUAGACGCGCACGGUUCAGGUCCGUGUGUCCGUGAGGACGUGGGGGUUCAAGUCCCCCCUCGCGCACCA
rnacentral:tRNA from 21 species